rnacentral:rRNA from 1 species
UACGAAAGGUCCAAGCGUUACUCGGAAUUACUGGGCGUAAAGCGCGCGUAGGCGGCCUUGUAUGUCGAUUGUGAAAGCCCCGGGCUCAACCUGGGAACUGCGCUUGAGACUGGCACGCUCGAGUUCGGGAGAGGAUGGUAGAAUUCCCAGUGUAGAGGUGAAAUUCGUAGAUAUUGGGAAGAACACCGAUGGCGAAGGCAGCCAUCUGGACCGACACUGACGCUGAGGCGCGAAAGCGUGGGGAGCAAACAGG